GACUGAGGCAUCUCAUAAAAGAGAGCAGAGAAGGCAGUCCAGAGAAGCUCAAGUUGCCUGCACCAACAUAGAUGAGCUACCAGAACCAGAGUGCUUGAAAGAUGCAGCUGCCUGCGCCAACACAGCUGCAUUGCUGGACCUUGGUGUGACGGAGAACCAAGAUCCAGAACAAAUGAAAGAUGCAGAAUGUCAGACAGACCUGAGCAUGGACGAUCUUGACAAGAUGGAAGACGCUAUGAACCAAGCAUCAGCAGAGCUGAGCGACCUCAGAAUUAAGGCACUGGACACACAAUUUACCCAAGAGGCCUUUCAGAACAACCAAGACAAGACUAAGUUUUACACAGGACUGCCAAAUUUCUUAGUUUUGAUGCAAGUGUUUCAACUAUGUGAGCCAUACAUCCCCUGUAGCCCUUGUCUGCACUCUCCACAUUUGAACAGCUCAUUUUGGCUUUACUCAGAUUGAGAUUAAAUCUUUCACUCCAGGAUUUGGCCUUCAGGUUCAAGGUUUCCUGUUCCACCGCUUCUAGAAUUUGGCACAAGUUAAUCGGCGUCCUUCAUGAAAGGCUGGAGUUCCUAAUAGAAUGGCCAGAGCGAGAGGUACUGCAAGCGACUAUGCCAAUGUCAUUUAGGCAAGAAUUUGCAUGCAAGGUUGCCGUGAUAGUUGACUGUUUUGAAGUGUUCAUUGAAAGGCCUUCCAAUUUACUUGCGAGAGCACAGACCUGGUCUAGCUACAAACACCACAACACAGUUAAAUUUCUCAUUGGUGUUGCUCCUCAAGGAUAUAUCACCUACAUGCGUGGGGAGGAAGAGUUAGUGACAAGCAUAUUACUGUAG
ensembl:lncRNA